rnacentral:tmRNA from 1 species
GGGGGCGAAAGGAGCUCGACAUGGAAUGGAGGUUUAAACCAGCAGGUGAGUUUGAGAGGUCUCUAAAACUCUCAAAAGAUUUAAAAUGCCAACACAAAUUAUGCUUUUGCAGUAGCGUAAGGUCUACUGCCAGUUUGGGAGAUUUUGUCUCCUUGGUCUCUCAAACUGAGGCGUAAAGGAGACUCGCCUUUAUCCUCAUCCUCAGGGAUAAGGGCUAAAAAGAAUUGAGGAUAUGCUCCAUCUUUUUGUGCCUGUUCAAAAAGAUGGAGAGGAGAAAGAAAUAACAGGCUAAACCUGUAGAAGGUUUAAACUGAGAUUCCAUGGACGCGGGUUCAAUUCCCGCCGCCUCCACCA